rnacentral:rRNA from 1 species
UACGUAGGGUGCGAGCGUUGUCCGGAAUUACUGGGCGUAAAGAGCUCGUAGGUGGUUUGUCGCGUUGUUCGUGAAAACUCACAACUCAAUUGUGGGCGUGCGGGCGAUACGGGGCAGACUGGAGUACUGCAGGGGAGACUGGAAUUCCUGGUGUAGCGGUGGAAAUGCGCAGAUAUCAGGAGGAACACCGGUGGCGAAGGCGGGUCUCUGGGCAGUAACUACGUGAGGAGCGAAAAGCGUGGGGGAGCGAACAGG